ensembl:lncRNA
GAGCGCUAAGGCGGCCACAGGGUUCCCCACCAUCCUCACUGCAAAUUCAACAUGGUGAAAGAGGCAAAUGAUGUUUCAGUGUCACUAUGAAAAUAUCUUGACCUUGGACCACCUGGAAGGGUCUUGAGGGAACUAUAGGAGUUCAAAGUCCACACAAAACAAAAACAACAACGAAGUCCACUUGGUGUUUACACUGAUCAUGACCCACCCCAGCAGGGCGGACUUGAGUCAACGCUCCCCAAAAGCUCAUGAGCUAUGUUGGGGAGGGGUGGACGCCUGGUCUGAGGGACAAUCUCAGCGAUGCCGACAGGGGAACAGGGCAAUGGAUGCACAAACAUUCACUAAGAGAGGCACAGGAGAAUAACUGGAAAGUUCUUUAUUACGACUGUAACCUCUAGGUGAGAAAGUCAGAUUUGGAAUAGUAGUAAUUACAGGAGAUUUCCACAGUUCAUUCAAUAUUCGGAACAGAGCGGUGUUUAAAUCAUUUAGAACAAGAAUGCCUUCUUGCUUUCGUUUUACAAAUAAAAAAAAAUCUUGAGCGGGAGCUGACCAAAUAGAGGGAGAGUACUGGCUUACAAUUUUAAGCUGUCAGUGAAUAGAAGGUAUUCUUUUUCAAGGUCUUUCCAUUCUUUCACACUCAGAAAGUUUCCCUUUGCGUCUAAGCGUCCUCCGUCCUGAUCAGCACCUUCUGUUACCACUUAGGAUGGUCAAUUUACAGCACAACUGAUGAGGUUACAGGCCUCUUUAAUUACGCUCCACACUCGAGUUCACGUAGCUUCAACUGAUGAGGUUACAGGCCUCUUUAAUUACGCUCCACACUCGAGUUCACGUAGCUUCAACGGGAUGUUCCCCAAGGCCUUCAGAGACCCACAAGACCGCAUGGUAUUCAGGUUCUGGAGGUCAGAAAUCUGAAAUGGGUUUCACUGGACUAAAGGUGCCAAGCAGGGCUGCACUCCUGGGACACUGGGGGACAAUCUGUAGCAUUGUCUUUUCCAGCUCCGGGAGGCCGCCCUCCUUCCUUGGCCCCUGGCCCCUUUCCUCCAUCUUUCAAGCCAGCAAAUAUGAGGGCUCCCCACUCCACCAGCUGAAUGAGUUCCAUGCCCCACAGAACCUGUUUCCACUCCAUCAGGAGAUGAAACCAAAUGCCACCUGGUUACUCAGGCCUGAAACUUGAAGGUGUUCUUCAUUCCUCCUGUGUCAUUUAUCACCUGCAGCCAAUGAACUCCUCUGGCUCACACCUCUUAGCCAUCUCUUGCAAAAGGUUACCUCUUUGCUUCUUUUUCUUCUUUCUUCAUUUGUAUUUGCCUAUCAAAUGAGUAAAUCCCACUCUUUCAUCCCAGACCACAAGAGUCACGACCUCAGGGCCUUUAUCCAUGCUCUAUCUUUAUCUCUGACACCCGGCUAGAUGUGGGUGGGACACAUGACAGGCACUGGAUACAUAUUUGUUGAAUCAAUAUUUCUUUGUAAAAACUGGAAACAAUAAAAGUCCACUUGACCUUCCUCUGAUCUUACUUCCCCUCCCCAGAGAAAAAUCACUGUCAUCAGUAGUUUCUAUACAUUUACAUAUAGAAAUGUAUUGUUUUAUUUAGUUUUUACAGAAAUGGGGUAAAA